CAUUAAGAAGCUAUGAAUCAGCAUUAGCCUUUUAAGCUAAAGAAAGAGGAUCCACCCCCCUCCUUAAUG
rnacentral:tRNA from 1 species